ACAAAUUGAAGAAAUCAUGCCACAUUUCCAAUAGCGAGGCAUGGUCCAUUCAUGUCCCAAGAUGCAAGAUGGCAGACACUAUCACACGUUGAUGUCGGCACACUUUGAUCUGCCUGUUCUGGCGAAUUCAGAAGAACUACUGCAUGAAAAUCUCUGAAAUGUAUAGUUCUCAGAUACCGAAACUGGCUGCUGAGGCUACAAAGUGGGAGGUGGUGUAAGGUUAUGCUGUGUUGGGAGAGGAGGGAGAGAGUUAUAGUUGUAGGCACCAUUGUUCACACUGCAUAAAAAACAGA
rnacentral:lncRNA from 1 species